rnacentral:rRNA from 1 species
CACACCGCCCGUCACACCAUGGGAGUUAAUUGCUCCAGAAAUGGCUGCGCUAACCCGCAAGGGAGGCAGGUCCUUAAGGAGUGAUUGGUAACUGGGGUGAAGUCGUAACAAGGUACCC